GAUCGCUUCUUGCAGGCUUCCUUCCAAGUUUACUGAUUUACUUCCGUGCACUUUGAAUGUGUGGAGCUAGGUUUUGAUGUUUCUAGGAAUAACUCUAUACAAAACACGCCUUUACAAUAUUUGGUCUAGACAUUAAAAGUCGAACAAAUAGUCCCAAGGUAGGCUUUAGAAUGUUUUGCUACUUAGAGAGGGUGCCAUGGCACCCAUGGAACCUCCACGAGAUCCAGGUUUAUUUGCAUCAUCAUCAUGCAUUAAUAAAGAGCUCAUAAAAUAUUCACCAUCAAAUAACAUUUUUUUAACAAGGCAAAAGAUUUGCCAUUUUCAUUGACUAAGAAGAAGAGAAUUGGCCGGUUAAUUAGAGGAGAACCGGGCAAAAACCUAUAUUACAAACCCUACGCGGGGUACACGCAGAAGACCUGGCCACAUACAGGAUCACGGCACAACCAAU
rnacentral:lncRNA from 1 species